AAAUUUUAUAGUUUAAGUUAAAAUAUUAAAAUGCAAAUUUAAUGAUGUUAUAUAAAUAUAAUUAAGAUUUU
rnacentral:tRNA from 1 species